rnacentral:rRNA from 1 species
GAUCAUGGCUCGAGGACGAACGCUGGCGGCGUGCUUAACACAUGCAAGUCGAACGGAAAGGCCCUGCUUGCAGGGUACUCGAGUGGCGAACGGGUGAGUAACACGUGGGUGAUCUGCCCUGCACUUCGGGAUAAGCCUGGGAAACUGGGUCUAAUACCGGAUAGGAGCCAUUUUUAGUGUGAUGGUUGGAAAGUUUUUUCGGUGUAGGAUGAGCUCGCGGCCUAUCAGCUUGUUGGUGGGGUAAUGGCCUACCAAGGCGGCGACGGGUAGCCGGCCUGAGAGGGUGGACGGCCACAUUGGGACUGAGAUACGGCCCAGACUCCUACGGAGGCAGCAGUGGGAAUAUUGCACAAUGGGCGCAAGCCCUGAUGCAGCGACGCCGCGUGGGGAUGACGGCCUUCGGGUUGUAAACUCCUUUCGCUAGGGACGAAGCUUUUUGUGACGGUACCUAGAUAAGAAGCACCGGCUAACUACGUG